CCUACGGGCGGCUGCAGUGGGGAAUAUUGGACAAUGGGCGCAAGCCUGAUCCAGCCAUGCCGCGUGAGUGAUGAAGGCCUUAGGGUUGUAAAGCUCUUUCAGUGGGGACGAUAAUGACGGUACCCACAGAAGAAGCCCCGGCUAACUUCGUGCCAGCAGCCGCGGUAAUACGAAGGGGGCUAGCGUUGUUCGGAUUUACUGGGCGUAAAGCGCACGUAGGCGGAUCGUUAAGUCGGGGGUGAAAUCCUGGAGCUCAACUCCAGAACUGCCUUCGAUACUGGCGAUCUUGAGUCCGGAAGAGGUGAGUGGAACUCCUAGUGUAGAGGUGAAAUUCGUAGAUAUUAGGAAGAACACCAGUGGCGAAGGCGGCUCACUGGUCCGGUACUGACGCUGAGGUGCGAAAGCGUGGGGAGCAAACAGGAUUAGAUACCCGGGUAGUC
rnacentral:rRNA from 1 species